UACGAAGGGGGCUAGCGUUGCUCGGAAUCACUGGGCGUAAAGGGUGCGUAGGCGGGUCUUUAAGUCAGAGGUGAAAUCCUGGAGCUCAACUCCAGAACUGCCUUUGAUACUGAGGAUCUUGAGUUCGGGAGAGGUGAGUGGAACUGCGAGUGUGGAGGUGAAAUUCGUAGAUAUUCGCAAGAACACCAGUGGCGAAGGCGGCUCACUGGCCCGAUACUGACGCUGAGGCACGAAAGCGUGGGGAGCAAACAGG
rnacentral:rRNA from 1 species